CAGCCAUGCUUCCUGUACAGCCUGUGGAAUUAUGGUCUGAGAGUACCUGUGCUGAAAUGGAAUUGUCUUUGCGCGGACACUUCUUAGAUGAGACCUAUUGUGGCCAAUAGCUCCUGAAGAACUGAAGCCUUCAGUUCAAAACUUGUGUGAGAAAAAUGAAUCUUGCCAAUUACUGGAGUGAGCUUAGAAAUAAAUCCAUCCCCAGUUGACCCUUGAAUGUAGCCUUGUCAAAGACCCAGAGACAAAGCAUCCUGCUAAUCUGCACUGGGUUCUAGGCCCACAGAAACCAUGAGAUAAUAAUUUUGUGUUGCUGUAAGCCACUAAAAACAAACAAAUAAAAUACUUUUUUAAGAUGUUCCCCUGUGGAAGGGUUCCAUUGCCAGGGAUCUGCACUUCACAACCAAAGGGAUUAAAGAAAAUUGGCUUCUUCAGA
rnacentral:lncRNA from 1 species